CUACCACAAUGGGAAAUUCCCCAAACAGGAAGGUGUACAGACAGUUCCAAUAUUGGAAAUAAAAAACUCUACAAAUGUCUACCACAGGAGGCAAGAGAACAAAUGAAGACACAGGAAAAGUAAAAGGCAAGCAUCUGAGAUUGAAGUUAUGAAUUCUACUAAGCAACUACAGAUGGACAAAGCAGUGAGGAGCAGUGCUGAGAGCCUGGCCGAGGCUCAGAUGAUUGUGGGCUGUGUUUACAUUGCAAAGACAUGAUAAGAUGUUUAACUUCAAGGGAAUAAGGAAAGAAUACAAGUUGCUGUAAGGAGGUUUCCCAAGGCCAAUAACUUACUAACAUUUGAGUUGAACAAGAGGAAUUUGGGGAUUGGUAAGAAAUAGAUGAAUUUUGAGUUGCCUCUAGAACUGAUUUUUAUUUUAUCAAAG
rnacentral:lncRNA from 1 species